GCCGGCCUAGCUCAAUUGGCAGAGCAACUGACUUGUAAUCAGUAGGUUGGGGGUUCAAGUCCUCUGGCCGGCACCA
rnacentral:tRNA from 6 species